UGCGUGCGGUUUUCGGAGCAAUAGGAUGCAGCAGCAAUAGAAGAAAUAAAAUCAACGGCCGCCAAAGAAUCAGCUUCAUCAGCGGGUUAAAUUCUAGAAAGGAGUUUGUCCACAGUGAUUGAACUAUUUAACAACUAUAUAUAGAAAAGCUGAAAUAAAAAAUAAACAGUUUCAAGUGACUUUAUCAUAAAAAUUCAAAGAGAGUGUGGAAAUUUGUGUGGUUUUUUGGGCUCUGCAAGGACCCUUGGAUUACCUUGCGGGGCGAGUGGAAUCGGGAGCUAUAACUUUGCCGGCGGAUGCCAUUGGAGUGACGGCGAAAUAAACCAGCAGGAAAUCGAAGGAGCCUGCAACAAGGAGAUAGUUGCUGCAACAACCGGGAUCAAAUAAGGGAUUAUUGCAGCAGCCCUAGCCCGUUAAGUGCUUCAAAGCGAAGGAAUAAAAGGAAAAAAUAAAGGUCGGCUUUACCACCCACGGCCACAUUUUUUCGGGCAGUGCAUAUAUUUUUAAGCCAACAACAAAGACCGCAAGGACGCCGCCAACGGUGAGCAGCGGUUGAAGCGGCGCUGCAGCCGCAGAAAAUGGCCGCAUCCACAAGUGCAGCGGCGAUAACAAUAGCAGC
rnacentral:sRNA from 1 species